UAAAACGGGUGAUUGACCUAAGCUCUCUUG
rnacentral:piRNA from 1 species